UCAAGAGUACGUGAAACCGUUCAGGGGUAAACCUGAGAAACCCAAAAGUUCGAAUGGAGAGAUUCAUCGUCAGCGAUCCUGGCAAUUGUGCGGUUCGCGAUGUCGGAGACUUCGGUCUCGCGGCACGCGUCCGUAUGAUUUAUUUGCCGGGUGUCGUCGUCGUGCACUUCUCCCCUAGUAGGACGUCGCGACCCGUUGGGUGUCGGUCUACGACCCGGGUGGGCGCCCGUCAUGUGUCACGCUUUACGGCGUCAUGUGGCAGACCCCCGGUUGUCUGACCAGCUGCCCGGCGGUACUCGCACGGUAUCGAGUCGCAAUUAUAUUGCGUCCGGCCCGCCGCAAGCGAGGCCAGUGUUCCCGGAUGCACGGACUUAGUGCCGUCACCGGGCCUGGCCAGCUGUUGGCCGGCGGUGUCCUAGGACUGGCUCAUAAUAUAUACCGGUCGGCGACGCUACUGCUUUGGGUACUUUCAGGACCCGUCUUGAAA
rnacentral:rRNA from 1 species